AAACAAAAUGCAAAUAAAUAAAAUGCAAUACAAUUGUUAACUGCAAUGAGGUGAAUGACUUCAAAUGAUUAACCUUUUAUAUUAGGCAAAUAAAAAGAAAUAGAAAUAGUAAGAAAUACAUAAGAACAUAUCAAGCCAUUACCGCCAAAAUAAUGUAUCCCACACCAUAAUCGAUUUUUGGUUUGUUAUCGAAAUCGAUAGUUCAACAUCAUUUGCAUCAUCUGUCAAAAUUUCAUGGCUGUAGAUUAAACCGUUAUGAUUUUAUAACAAAAACAAUUUUAAUGUAAGUGCAUAUGGUGACUUGUUUACAUUUUCUUUGAACACAUGUGUGGGAUACAAUCAAAUUCUCUUUUAAAAUAAAUGAAACACAAGAGGAAAAAACACAAUUUUUUGAGACUGUAAUUAAAGAUAAAGCUUUAGAACAAUAUGUCGAAGCUCUCCCUGGUACCGUAUAGCGAUUCAGAUGAAUCUUUCGUUGAUUUAAAUGGUUUGGAAAGUUUAAAAGAAGUCGAGGAGGAAACGUGUGUUGGGAAAAGGGGCUACCGAAAGCAAAAGAGAAUACCUAAAAGGUUGCAAAAAGUUAAGAAAAAAAUACGAGUGUUUUACCCAACCCGUCCUUAAAAAAAAUGUCCAAAUUCGUGUCAUGAUAAAAUUUCUGAAGAUGAAAGAGUAAGAAUAAAUGAACAUUUUUGGGGAAGCGGCAACAAAAUUAGACAGAAAGAUUGGCUGUCUUCUUGUGUUAAACAAGUCGAUAUUAAAAGGCGAUAUGGAGAAAGUGACAGAAAAAAGUGCAGCUUAAAAGUUUUAAAGUUUGUCAAAAAUUUUUAUUGAAAACGUUGGAAGCAAGCAUAUCGCUAGUAAAAUCCUUUAUAGAAGAACUACCAGCGGUUCCUUCACAUUAUUGCAGGAAUAAAAGUACAAAAUUAUAUCUUCCUAAGAAUUUCGAAACAUAAAAACUGUAUAUCAGCAUUAUGUAGAACAUUUGAAAACUAUUAAUAAAGUAAAUAGUCAGUUAUCGUUAA